CUGAUCUCUCCCUAACGUCGGCAAUUAGUAGUUAUACUUCUGCGGCCCGCUACAGCGCGACUGUUUCUCUUUCCUUUGCUCCAGCCGUGGUGAGGAGACGCGUGAGUGCAUCCGCCGUGCAGUACAGCGCCUCCAAGUUCUGGGGGUUUGAUUGCUGCCGUGCCCUCUCGGGGACCAACCGCCUGCUUUGGCUACGUAGAGAGUCGGGCACCUGUCCUGCUGCUGUCUUGUUUUGUUGAUUUUGUUAUAUUACGGUUAAACUGUCGGCGGCCCAGUUUUCCCCUGUAGCUUGCCUUUCCAUGCCCUUUUGGAUUAUUGUUCGCUCCAGCUUUUGUGGCUGGCCAGGGCGAUUCUCGGCCAUACACUGGGCCGGUUAUACGAACUGGUACUGCCUUUCCCCUUUCUCCCAGCUGUGGGAAGUUGUGUGAGACCGAGCAGACCAAGGAUAAUCGGACCCAGCACCAGCUGUGGGCUGGUUUGCCGUGUGAAAGUAUUUUUAAUCAGUGCUCUGUGGUGUAUAACUGGGCGUGUUGUAUCACCGACUUUUGUUUUCCUUUAAUUGUUUCUUUCUUUUGUUUUCUAGGUUGAGAGCUUGUUUAUGUCCCAUGUUUUUAUCCUUUUUAAUGUGUUUAUCUCGUGCUUUUAUUUCAGCGAACUGAGGAUCUACCAGCGGCCGUGGGACCUCAGGUGGUGGGUCGUUUUCCACACUUCUUUUGUUGUACAGCACCAGGUGAAUAGACUGUAGUAGUUUUUUUUUUUUGUGUGGUUCUUUUGGUCCACCGCUGCUGGUAAGUCCCAGUUGUAUUUAUUUUUAUUGUAAUUUGGGACACCGUUUUAGAUAUUCAGUGCGCUGUUGUUUUGUUUUUCAUUUUACAUUAAUAAAUAAAAUUGUGUUUAUAUUUGAGUUGGCCUCAGUGUGCAUCCCUGAACCUGUGCGAGCGUUGUUUUAAUUACAUUUUAUUUUUUCAUAUUUCCUGGGGGCUAGAAUUUCCCCCCAGGUGGCGUUGUCAUUUUUAUUAUUUCUUUUAGAACCCCGCCGACCACUUGGUCACAGGUGGUUAAGCUCACACCACUCGACAAAGCUGUCCACCACACUCCUGUACUCCUCCUCCUGUCCAUCCCUGAUACAGCCCACAAUGGCAGAGUCAUCAGAGAAUUUCUGCAGAUGGCAUGACUGAGACUUGGAUCUGAAGUCAGACGUGUAGAGGGUGAAGAGGAAGGGUGAUAGGACCGUCCCCUGUGGCGCUCCCGUGCUGCUCAUGAUGUUGUCCCAGUGGCAGCCCCUCGGCUGAACAUGUUGUGGUCGACUUGUUAAAGAGUCCAUGAUCAAAGCUACCAGUGAUGCAUUCACCUGCAUUUCCACGAGCUUAUGCCCCAGCAACGAUGGUUGACAUGUGAAGUCAGGGCCACUGGCCUGUAGUCACUGGGGGUCGAUGGUUUAGUCUUUUUAGGGACGGGAUACAGGCAGGAUGUCUUCCAGAGUGACGGAACCCUCUGCAGUUUCAGACUCAUGUUGAAGAUCCGAUGUAGAACUCCAGACAGCUGGGAAGCACAGCACCUGAGGGCCCUAGGACUGACACCAUCCGGGCCAGCAGCUUUACUGGAGUGGAGUCUGCCCAAUUCCCUCUUGAUGUUAUCUUCUGAAAGGGACAGGUCUGUCAGGCUGUCUGAUCACAGAGGAAGGCUGUACUUCUCUGGCCUCA